rnacentral:lncRNA from 1 species
GAAAGAUCCUGAAUUCGUCUUGGACACGCUCAAACUUUCUUUGUAUUGUGCCCGACUAACUGGAAAUCAUCCUAUGCUGGUCUUGUUUGCGUGGAAAUGUAGUAGAUAGAUAGUGUUCAGUUUUUUGCCGAAUUGUUAUAAUUGAACAGUAAAUUAGCCUUAGGUAGAAUAAGGUUUGCUAUGUUUUUUGCGUGUGAUCGGUGCUUGCUUCUUUGGCUAUUUCCGGUGUUAAAUUAAGGCGAAACACUUGUGACUAUAAACCAUGUUAUGUGAA